CAAAUCCAACAUGGCGCCCAAGGCUAUCCGAAAAUCAAGUCCAACAAGAAGCCGUUUAGGUGCGGCAGGGGCGUUUGUAAUGGACUUCUACAGAAAUCCUACAAAAUGGCAACUAAUCAAACACACUGCAAUAUUUAUUCUUGCUGUUGCCGCAGCUAGGGAAUUUUCAGAUAUUGACCUCAUGGCUCCUCCUCCAGCUCCAUAGAGUCUCUGGUUUACUUCUACUGUAAGACACAGACAAUUUGUGCGAUGGAGUAUGGCUGGUGCCUCCAGAACAUCUGCUAUGGACAAUAGAUUGCCUGUUUCUUUGUAAAAUAUUUUGUCAACCUUGCUAUGUUACUGGUCAAUAUUGUGUACGUGGACUACACCCAUCAAAUCAGUAUUGUAAUUUGAGAUAAAUAAGGUUUUAGCAAU